UUUUUCUACUAGGGGUGCCAAAUAAUGGCUGAGACUUACUCUUAGAACCUGAUCUCGUUAGUACGAGCGGAGGGAAGUAGAUGGGAAAUGAA
rnacentral:ncRNA from 2 species